rnacentral:rRNA from 1 species
AUUGAACGCUGGCGGCAGGCCUAACACAUGCAAGUCGAGCGGAUGAAGGGAGCUUGCUCCUGGAUUCAGCGGCGGACGGGUGAGUAAUGCCUAGGAAUCUGCCUGGUAGUGGGGGAUAACGUCCGGAAACGGGCGCUAAUACCGCAUACGUCCUGAGGGUGAAAGUGGGGGAUCUUCGGACCUCACGCUAUCAGAUGAGCCUAGGUCGGAUUAGCUAGUUGGUGGGGUAAAGGCCUACCAAGGCGACGAUCCGUAACUGGUCUGAGAGGAUGAUCAGUCACACUGGAACUGAGACACGGUCCAGACUACUACGGGAGGCAGCAGUGGGGAAUAUUGGACAAUGGGCGAAAGCAUGAUCCAGCCAUGCCGCGUGUGUGAAGAAGGUCUUCGGAUUGUAAAGAACUUUAAGUUGGGAGGAAGGGCAGUAAGUUAAUACCUUGCUGUAUUGACGGUAACAGCAGAAUAAGCACCGGCUAACUUCGUG